AUGCUUGUAAUUAUACUUCAGUAUUCCAUAGUAACAUCUGACAAAAAUAUCUAAAGACACUGAAGCAGCAAAUGACAAUGACCGUUGGCAAGAUGACACAGGUCCUUGUUUCACUUUCAGUGGGAGUGCAAAACAGACAUGGACAACGCCUACAAAUUUGGAYGGACAGAGGUCAGCUGUGAGGGGUUCAACCAUCCAGAUGACACCUACAUACUGAAGGGCUCUUGUGGACUGGAGUACUCACUGGAGCUGACUGAGGAAGGCAAGAGGAGGCACAAGGGGGGCUCAACAGGUGGCUUCAGUGACUUCGCAUCCAGCUUUAAGGGUUCCUCCGACAACAACAACCAGCAUCACCAUUGCAACAACAGACAACAGAGUUCUACCGGGAAAGAUUCCAGUGGGUUAGUGAUAGUCGCUCUGCUAUUGUUUCUGGCCUAUGGUAUGUACAAGCUUUUCCUGAGUGGACCGACGAAUCUAGGACAAUACUGGCAGUUCCCUGAUAAUGGCUACAAUCCCCAUGGGCCACCACCUCCWKGAUUCAAGCCAGACUUCACAGGUUUCUCUUCAGGUUCCACUUCCGGGUUCCCUGGUGCUUCUGGAUYCCCCGGUUCUGCCGGAGGAUAUGCUAGUUCUGCUGGCUACGGUGCCAGCCCUGUGUACGGGUUCCACAGUGACUACAGCUGACAGCAGCACUUUGCAGGGGCCCGUGCUGCUGGAGGAACUGGGAAUGGAUUCUGGACUGGGAUGGGGACUGGAGGAGUCCUCGGUUAUCUGUUUGGGAGCCAACGGCUUUGGAGGGACCAAGAGAAGAUACAUGUWKAAGAUGGCCAGGAAGCCACUGGCAGCUUUCCAUGAUGCCAGAAGAACGCCAAGUGAUGUCAUCAGGGAUCUGGGACAAAGCAUAGGUGGAGGUCUGUACUAAAUUUGGUAGGGUUGAUGUGGAAUUGUCAGGAUUACAAGAUUUKAAUGACUCAAGAACUCUGAAAUGUUACGCGUCUGCGAGAGAUAGGAAUGUAUAAUUGUUUACAUUUUUUAAAUUACCACUAACAGUUGAUACUUCUUACCUGUAUCCUUAAACUGCAAAUGUUCCAAUGGUUUUAACUUGUUUUAUUAUGCGUUUGAAUUUAACACAUUUCCCUGAUGCUUUUUUUGAUGAGGCAAUUUCUAAAAUUCCWUCAGAAGGAAUUAUGUAUAUA